AGAUGUGAACUUUGUCCCCAUAAGGAUGGAGCUUUAAAAAGAACAGAUAAUGGGGGUUGGGCCCAUGUGGUUUGUGCCCUGUAUAUUCCAGAGGUACAAUUUGCCAAUGUUUCCACAAUGGAACCAAUUGUUUUACAGUCUGUUCCGCAUGAUCGUUAUAAUAAGACUUGCUACAUUUGUGAUGAACAAGGAAGAGAAAGCAAAGCAGCCACUGGUGCUUGCAUGACAUGUAAUAAACAUGGAUGUCGACAGGCUUUCCAUGUAACAUG
rnacentral:sRNA from 1 species